rnacentral:rRNA from 1 species
GACAGAGGGUGCAAACGUUGUUCGGAAUUACUGGGCGUAAAGCGUGUGUAGGCGGCCUUGCAAGUCGGAUGUGAAAGCCCCGGGCUCAACCCGGGAAGUGCACUCGAUACUGCAGGGCUUGAGUGUCGGAGAGGUUGGUGGAAUUCUCGGUGUAGAGGUGAAAUUCGUAGAUAUCGAGAAGAACACCGGCGGCGAAGGCGGCCAACUGGACGACUACUGACGCUGAGACACGAAAGCGUGGGGAGCAAACAGG